CUCAGGGAGAUCUGGUGACGCCUCCGACUAAGGCUAAACAGCCAGCAUGUACCAGAGUUGGGACUAAAGCAUAGGUCCUCUGAUUCCAGUCGCUUCUAUCUCACCCAGAUUGCACUUGGUAAAAUUCUGUUGUAGGCGCAGACGUCCUUUCCAACCUUUUAUCUCCGCAGAAGCCUCUCCUCUCCCUUGGCUGGGCCCUUAGACAGCUCUCAAAUGCCUCGCCCUCUCAGGAAUACUCCAUGACCUUCUCCCAUUCCCUCUCCAUUCUUCCUCUAAACAAAUCAAUGUCUUUUCCCGUUUCUGCUCAGCUCUCGUAUGCAAACUUUGUCACCCGAAAAAGCAUAAACUUCAUAUAAACCGAUUUCCACUAUUGCCUCCACAGAUGAUCGUUUCACCUUCAGGAAAUCAUUUCACCAAGGCUGCUUCCCCAUUUGAAGAACAAAAACCAGCCAUGAUGUCUAGUUUGUGACUUCCAUUGAAGGAUCCUAUGUGAAUCCCAUCCAGACAAUGCCUAAUAUGAAGUAGAUGCUCAGAAGUGAAAGGCACAUCUUACAUGGCGGCAGACAACAGAAGAGAAUCAGAGCCAAGCCAAAGGGGUUUCCUCUUAUAAAACCAUCAGAUCUCAUGAGCCUUAUUCACGAUGACCACAAAAACAGUAUGGGGGAACUGCCCCCACGAUUCAACUAUCUCCCACUGGGUCCCUCCCACAACAUUAGGGAAUUAUGGGAGCUACAAUUCAAGGUAAGAUUUGGCUGGGGACACAGCUAAACCACACCACCUGGUUUCAUUCAAUGCCACUGAACAUAUUCUCUGGUUCUAGGAUUAGAUCUCCUCUCCUGACCCUGCUGGUAGUAUUUGCUGGGAUCCAGCCCCGUCCCCACAGCCCAGGUGCUGAUUCCUAUAAUGAGGUCAUUUUAGUAUUUUAGUAGCUGAAGAGCUCUAUGCCACAUGUGCUUCAUGUGGAAUUCAACCUCAGAACAAGUACUAUUACAUUUGGGAACUGCCAGU
rnacentral:lncRNA from 1 species